UACGUAGGAUGCAAGCGUUGUCCGGAAUUAUUGGGCGUAAAGAGUUCGUAGGCGGUUGCCUAAGUCUGGUGUUAAAUACAGGAGCUCAACUCCUGCAUGGCACUGGAAACUGGGCGGCUAGAGUAUGGUAGAGGUCACGGGAAUUCCAGGUGUAGCGGUGAAAUGCGUAGAUAUCUGGAGGAACACCAGUGGCGAAAGCGCGUGACUGGGCCAUAACUGACGCUGAGGAACGAAAGCGUGGGGAGCGAACAGG
rnacentral:rRNA from 1 species